UGGUCAUGAUGUUUGUGCAGGA
rnacentral:piRNA from 1 species